ACGGCAGGUCAGCAUGCCCCNAAUCCCCCGGGCUACACGCGGGCUACAAUGGCGGGGACAGCGGGUUCCGACCCCGAAAGGGGGAGGCAAUCCCUCAAACCCCGCCGCAGUUGGGAUCGAGGGCUGCAACUCGCCCUCGUGAACGCGGAAUCCCUAGUAACCGCGCGUCAACAUCGCGCGGUGAAUACGUCCCUGCUCCU
rnacentral:rRNA from 1 species